ensembl:Mt_tRNA
GUUAUUGUAGCUUACAAAUUAAAGCACGGCACUGAAAAUGCCACGAUGGGAAAUUAUGAUUCCCCAAAAACA